CUUGGUCAUUUAGAGGAAGUAAAAGUCGUAACAAGGUUUCCGUAGGUGAACCUGCGGAAGGAUCAUUACCGAGUUAGGGUCUUCCAGGCCCGACCUCCAACCCUUUGUUAACUAUACAAUGUUGCUUUGGUGGGCCCGCCUUUAGGGGCCGCCGGGGAUUUCUGCCCCUGGUCAGUGCCCGCCAGUAGCCUUCUAAAAUUCUUUCAUUAAAUGUGUCGUCUGAGUAUACUUAUAAAUCGUUAAAAACUUUCAACAACGGAUCUCUUGGUUCUGGCAUCGAUGAAGAACGCAGCGAAAUGCGAUAAGUAAUGCGAAUUGCAGAAUUCAGUGAGUCAUCGAAUCUUUGAACGCAUAUUGCGCCCUUUGGUAUUCCGAAGGGCAUGCCUGUUCGAGCGUCAUUAUCAACCAUCAAGCCUGGCUUGUUGUUGGACUUUACUGCUGAAAUAUGUGGCAGGUCCGAAAAAUAAUGACUGUGUCGUGUUUGACCCUAAAUGCAACGAGCUUUUUGUAAGCACGCAUUGAAGUGGUUAACCGGCCUAGUCUUAACCAUCAUUUUCUAAGGUUGACCUCGGAUCAGGUAGGAAUACCCGCUGAACUUAAGCAUAUCAAUAAGCGGAGGA
rnacentral:rRNA from 1 species